GGUCUCGUAGCUCAGCUGGUAGGGCGUGCACUGUACAAAAGCGUAAGCGGUGUCCAUGCGUGGGUUCGACACCCACCAAGGCUA
rnacentral:tRNA from 1 species